rnacentral:rRNA from 1 species
AGCAGUCGCCGCGGGAAUACGGAGGGGGCUAACGUUGUUCGGAAUUACUGGGCGUAAAGCGCACGUAGGCGGAUACUUAAGUUAGGGGUGAAAUCCCAGGGCUCAACCCUGGAACUGCCUUUAAUACUGGGUAUCUUGAGUUCGAGAGAGGUAAGUGGAAUUCCGAGUGUAGAGGUGAAAUUCGUAGAUAUUCGGAGGAACACCAGUGGCGAAGGCGGCUUACUGGCUCGAUACUGACGCUGAGGUGCGAAAGCGUGGGGAGCAAACAGGAUUAGAUACCCCUGUAGUCCCUGUCUCUUAUAC